AUGCCUUGCCUUCGCCCGCUACCCCGGUCGUCCCGUUGCAUGCAUGACCCUCCGCUGCUCCGGGUCCCACCUCGCCGUCGCCCACCGUGCGCCUGGUCGCCCGCCGUGUCGUCACGUUGCAUGCUUGCCUUCGCCCACCCACACCGUCUUGGCCGCCGGCCGCGUGCACGGCCUCGUUAUUCCCGUAAACCACGAUCACCGUCGUCGUUGACCAUUCGUGUUUAUGCAUGCAUAGAUUUCUCCUUUUCUUUAUCUUGUCGCUAUCUCGUACUGCGUCCCAAUUCACACGUGGGGCCACCAUGUCAUCGGCGAGAGCUAUCAUCAGAGGAUAAGAAAAGGAGACCGUUUCUCGAUGCGUUGCACCACAUGGCAGCAUUUAAAGCGUACACAUCAGGCGGCCGCCUCGUCAGUACUGUCUUAACUGCCGCCUUCGGACACGCAGAGCACCGGCCAAGAAAUCUCUCCCGCACGCGGUCCCGUCUCGCCCUGCUGCACCGGUGCAACCUCGAGCUCCCCCGCCGAUCUCUCUAUCCUCCUUGCCGUGCCAUGGCACGGCCAGCGUCCCUCGACUGUGAUUCUGACGACUAUGACUCCGACUCCGGCCAUGCUUCCGGUGACGAAACUCGGCCCAAUAAGCGUCUUGUGUAUGAUUCUGAUGGAGGAUUCUAUAUUAAUGAUGAUGAUGAUGAUGAUGAUGAUGAUGACGACGACGACGACGAAGAUGAUGAAUAGAAAGCCACAUCAGAGCUGGGAGGCUGGCAUGGCAUGAAGAGGCCAGCAGAAGCAGUUACGGAGUGCAAGUCUAGCUAGUGGCAGAAAUGUUGUUUUUGUAAAUAUGUUUGCUUGUGUGAUGAGACCAAAUGUAACUGUAUUGAUGUGAUUGAACUAACUGUUAGCGUUUUACUACAUAAGAAGGCACUGUCAGCAUUUG
rnacentral:rRNA from 1 species